rnacentral:rRNA from 1 species
GAUGAACGCUGGCGGCGUGCCUAAUACAUGCCAGUCGAGCGAACGGACGAGAAGCUUGCUUUUCUGAUGUUAGCGGCGGACGGGUGAGUAACACGUGGAUAACCUACCUAUAAGACUGGGAUAACUUCGGGAAACCGGAGCUAAUACCGGAUAAUAUUUUGAACCGCAUGGUUCAAAAGUGAAAGACGGUCUUGCUGUCACUUAUAGAUGGAUCCGCGCUGCAUUAGCUAGUUGGUAAGGUAACGGCUUACCAAGGCAACGAUGCAUAGCCGACCUGAGAGGGUGAUCGGCCACACUGGAACUGAGACACGGUCCAGACUCCUACGGGAGGCAGCAGUAGGGAAUCUUCCGCAAUGGGCGAAAGCCUGACGGAGCAACGCCGCGUGAGUGAUGAAGGUCUUCGGAUCGUAAAACUCUGUUAUUAGGGAAGAACAGAUGUGUAAGUAACUGUGCACAUCUUGACGGUACCUAAUCAGAAAGCCACGGCUAACUACGU